rnacentral:rRNA from 1 species
GUGGGGAAUAUUGCGCAAUGGGGGAAACCCUGACGCAGCGACGCCGUGUGAGGGAAGAAGGCUUUCGGGUCGUAAACCUCUGUCAGAAAGGAAGAACCUCCCAUAUCCGAAUAGGGUGUGGGACUGACGGUACUUUCAAAGGAAGCACCGGCUAACUCCGUGCCAGCAGCCGCGGUAAUACGGAGGGUGCUAGCGUUAAUCGGAAUCACUGGGCGUACAGCGCGCGUAGGCCGCUUCUUAAGUCGGACGUGAAAGCCCUCGGCUCAACCGGGGAACUGCGUUCGAUACGGGGAGGCUUGAGUCCUGGAGAGGGUGGCGGAAUUCCGGGUGUAGGAGUGAAAUCCGUAGAUAUCCGGAGGAACACCGGUGGCGAAGGCGGCCACCUGGACAGGUAAUGACGCUGAGGCGCGAAAGCGUGGGGAGCAAACAGGAUUAGAAACCCGUGUAGUCC